UAUAACUUUGGAAUGUUGCAUACACUUUCAUAUUUAGCAGAUGGGUUAGUUGGUUUUGCUUAAUUGGGUUUUUUUUUCCUUCUUUGUUCCAAGAGAAGGCUGAUAGGGAGAAGGGGGAAAGUAUACUUUCAAAUGGUUGCUCUGUAACAACAAGAAGCAUCACUAAUUCUUUUUUUAAAUACAGUUUACAAGCACCGGACACAUUUACUUCUUUAAAAGAAAUCUCAUGAUCAUUUCAGGGUAGAGUUGGGAGAGGGAAUCUGUCAAUAUUUACACUGUGUUUGGCUCAGUUCAACAGCACAUAUUUCCUCCUCUUGAAAUCUUAGUAACAGAUUCAAGUUUUUGUUUUUGUUUUUCCAUAAGUUCAAUCGAUGAAGGACCAUAACAUAAAAGACAGCAGGGAAAUUCAUCUUCCCCUUCUGGGGCUCUGAGCAAGCAGCCCUUUUUGCUUGCUCCUCUUUCCUCAUUACUAGAAUGAAUGGGAAUACUUAGCAUCUUUGUGAGGCAAGGAUAAUGCUGCAAGGAAUGAAAGCAAAAUCCCCAAAGCUGGCAGAGGACCCCCACCCAUGCUCUUCCUCCAAUCCCCCACACCAACUGAAUGGGUGGACUGGGCCACAGACCAAGCCCUGGAAAGAGAAGGAGAGAGAGAGAGGAAUUGGUUUGAGAACAUGAAAAAAACAUCUCAGUGUUGCCCAUCAAUUCGUGCUUUUUCUUAACAACUGUCCUAAUAUCAUGGUGAUGGUGUGGAAACAGGAUCCUUGUUGAUAUUAGCAGAGAAUAUGAAGGGUGAGCAUCAUCAGGCUUGCAGAGGAUACUGUUUACUGGAAGACAUGCUAUCGUAGAUCCGAUACAAGAUUUGCUCGGAUUCUGGUCCCCUUUUGAAGCAGUUUCAAUGCAUCUUUUCAUUGGCAGGCUCAGGACAGGUAUCAUUCUGGCUGCCCAGCUCACUGGCACUGAACUGCUGGCUGGACACUGAAAAGAGAAACAGCAGCUCAUCUUGACUGCUUUUGUCUCUCAUAUUUUCACAACUUUGGACUUUCUGUUUGAAUCGUCUCAACAUCUCCCUCUGCUUCCGGACAUACCAGGUGUAUGGUAUCGUGAGCUUCGGGAUCUCCACCUGGGUUCUCUUCUUGAGGAGCUGGACCUUGGAACAGGUUUCCACCAAGGUCCUUUGCCCUUGAGUUCUAUUCUCUGACCUCUGCCAUGCUAGAGGGAAAUGGGACCAGCUAUUUACCAGUUCACUAGAAAGUUGUGACGUCUACCAAGAAUCUGAAGUUCUUGACUAUUUUGGUUUUAAAAUUAAUAGGUUUUUUUAAAUGAACAGAAUCAAUGCUGCCUUUAAAAAAAAAAAGAGGAGGGCAGCUAGGUAGCAUAGUAAGUAGAGCACCAGCCCUGAAAUCAGGAGGACUUGAGUUCAAAUCUGAUCUCAGAAAUCUAACAUUUCCUGGCUAUGUGACCCUGGGCAAGUCAUUUAAGCCUCAGCAAUAAAUAAAUAAAUUCUAUUUUUUCUUCUUUGAUUUGAUUUAAUUUUUUUUUUCCUCUGAGGCGAUUGGGGUUAAUUGACUUGCCUAGGAUCACACAGCUAAAAAGUGUUAAGCGUCUGAGUCAUAUUUGAACUCAGGUCUUCCUGAGUUCAGGGCUGGUGCUCUAUCCAUUGCGCCACCUAGCUGCCCUUCUUUAAUUUGAUUCAUUUUAAUUAAUUAUUAAUUAAUAAAUUAAUUUAAAUAAAUAAAGUUUAAAUUGA